CUUGUAUGCUCUAGUCGGCUGGCCCUCGCUACAUAUUCGUCGCCAGACCCACUGGCUCCAGGUCAUCUACAAGUCCAUGCUAGGUCGCAGUUGUAAAUGAGAACUUGUUCUCAACUAGCCUACCUGGUUAAAUAAAGGUGAAAUAAAAUAAAUAAAAAAGGGAAGACGAGGAGGAGAGGUUUCUGUCUGUAAUGCCAAGGACCUGAAGUUGACUGUGUGGCGGAUGCUCUUACAUUGCAUUCUGUCAAACCGCCUUGCCAUUGUCACAACCUUGACUGGGGCAGAGCAUAAGGCCUGUUUCAGGGACUUGUUUCUGAAGACCAUUCUUCACAAAGCCAUUCGGAAGAACCUGCAACCCAGGAUGCCAUGGAUAAGGGGGUCCAGAUUCAGGUCACCCUUUAGCUGAAAGGGGCCUCCGAUUGUGAAGGCGGGAGAAGGCGGCGGACAGGGGAGAGGGAUCGGCUGCAGUGAGGGUCAGCAUCAAGUCUCGGACCACCUAUCUCAAAACCAGCCUCUACCCCCAAGCCACAAGACUGAUCCAACAGCUGAACCCUGGGCUGACUCCUGCACCCUACCACACACUUACCAUUUAUUCAUAUUCUGUACACACUUAAAUUACUUUAGUCUACCGGACCAAUGUAAUAGUUAUGUCACCUAACUGCACUAUGUAGAUAUACUUUCAUUAUAGUUCUAUGCUGCUACUGCACUGUAG
ensembl:lncRNA